UACGAAGGAUGCAAGCGUUAUCCGGAUUCACUGGGUUUAAAGGGUGUGCAGGUGGGACAGUAAGUCAGUGGUGAAAGCCGUCCGCUCAACGGACGAACUGCCAUAGAUACUGCUGUUCUUGAGUGUAGUUGAGGCGGGCGGAAUAUGACAUGUAGCGGUGAAAUGCUUAGAUAUGUCAUAGAACACCGAUCGCGAAGGCAGCUCGCAAAACUAUUACUGACACUGAAACACGAAAGUGCGGGGAUCAAACAGG
rnacentral:rRNA from 1 species